GCAGUCCUUUGCAAUGGGUGCCACUGCUCCAAGAACUCUUCUGUGCGUGGUGUAAAAAGCGGGGAAACCAAGAAUGGACCCUGGCUUGAAAGGUGUUGGAGGUAGUCACUGGAACAGCAUGGCCCGAAAUUUGUGUCCACUUGAAAUGCUCCAUGUUUGUAAUCGCCGAGCAAGAAUGAGCAGGUCUUGGCUGUUGGCAUCUCCUUCAUGGUAACUGAAGCACGCUGAGUGAUAAGCAUACCUGAAAGAAAAGAGGGGGUUCAAAGAGAGCUGGAAGAUGGAGGCAAACAGAAAGAAAUGGAAGUGUCAAGUUUUUAAACAGAAAACAAAGAAGCCUAUAACCUAAAAACCCACAAGCCUAAAGUUUGCCAUUCAGCCACCAGACCGAAGGGAACACGUCCAUACAGCUCCAGCUCGUGCAGCAUACAGUCCUAUUGUUCUUGGUUGACUUCUGCAAGCUUCCCGUGCUUGGAGUCAGCCUUGUAGUUUCGCUGAGCCCACGCCUACACAAACCAGAGCAAGUUUAACAGGGAGAUGGGCACGGCUCCUCUCCCAGCUCUGGCUUCCAGGCUCAAGACUCUUUUUCUUCUCCAGGUUAGCCCAACCGAGCUCUUUCCAGUGCAUCAGGCUUACAGAGAAAGGGGUGUCUGCUGGAGAAAAAGUUGGACUUUGAUGCUGCUGUGCUACUAUGAUGUUCCAUGAGUGAGGAUCUUCUGGUCCCUGUAGUCAGUAAAGCACCCCUGGACAGCACCAGGAUGAUGCAGUGAAGGAAAUAUUUCGGUGGCAGCUUUAGGAAAACACUUGGCUUUCUGUUGACUAUCUUCCCCCAGGAGCACUGCCAUAAAGAUUGCAUUUGUGUUGAGGCCACAGAACGUGUAGCUGGGUGCAGGCUGGGGACCUCACCAUUUUGAGGUGAGUAUUCCCAACAAGCUGACAUUGUGAAGUUAAAUAUUUAUGUCCCCAUGCAGGACAAGGGGCUUUAUGUAUUUAUACCUUGUGCCCUUGAAAACCCAACUUUCAUGUAUAGGUAUUUUAUUCAUGAUGCAUUUCGUUUCUACGUGCGCUUUCCUGUUUGUGAGUGUAUUUGUUAGGAACCUACCUGAUAUUUUCUUCUGCAAACGUAUUGGCUUUGGUUGGUAAGAAAGUUGUUCUGAAUGUACUGCUGGGCACUCCUUUUGUUCAUUUUCUUUUGUCAGGGGCUGACAGUACACUAGCUGCAGUUUUCAUGUGAUCAUUCUUGAAAUUGCUUCGUGCUCAGAGAAAUGUGUAGGCGUUCUUUCUGUGUAUUUCCUUUAAAUAGUAAGUGAAAACAGUAUUACGAGAAUAAAAAAUUACACC
rnacentral:lncRNA from 7 species